rnacentral:tRNA from 1 species
UGUCUAGUAGCUUAACCGGAUAAAGCCCUGGAUUUUAUCAGGAGAUUGUGGGUUCGAAUCCCACCUAGAUAACAA